UGAGUCUUCUGAGUAACCGAUUAAAUUAAUCAAAACUUUCAACAACGGAUCUCUUGGUUCUGGCAUCGAUGAAGAACGCAGCGAAAUGCGAUAAGUAAUGUGAAUUGCAGAAUUCAGUGAAUCAUCGAAUCUUUGAACGCACAUUGCGCCCGCCAGUAUUCUGGCGGGCAUGCCUGUUCGAGCGUCAUUUCAACCCUCAAGCCCCCGGGCUUGGUGUUGGGGAUCGGCGAGCCUCUGCGCCCGCCGUCCCCUAAAUUUAGUGGCGGUCACGUUGUAACUUCCUCUGCGUAGUAGCACACUUAGCACUGGGAAACAGCGCGGCCACGCCGUAAAACCCCCAACUUUAGAAUGUUUGACCUCGAAUCAGGUAGGACUACCCGCUGAACUUAAGCAUAUCAAUAAGGCGGAGGAAC
rnacentral:rRNA from 1 species